UACGUAGGGUGCGAGCGUUAAUCGGAAUUACUGGGCGUAGAGCGUGCGCAGGCGGCUCGCUAAGACCGAUGUGAAAUCCCCGGGCUUAACCUGGGAACUGCAUUGGUGACUGGCGAGCUAGAGUGUGGCAGAGGGGGGUAGAAUUCCACGUGUAGCAGUGAAAUGCGUAGAGAUGUGGAGGAAUACCGAUGGCGAAGGCAGCCCCCUGGGCUAACACUGACGCUCAUGCACGAAAGCGUGGGAGC
rnacentral:rRNA from 1 species